AUACGGAGGGGGCUAGCGUUGUUCGGAUUUACUGGGCGUAAGGCGCGCGUAGGCGGGCUGGUUAGUUGGGGGUGAAAUCCCAGGGCUUAACCCUGGAACUGCCCUCAAUACUGCCAGUCUUGAGUUCGAGAGAGGUAAGUGGAAUUCCUAGUAUAGAGGUGAAAUUCGUAGAUAUUAGGAAGAACACCAGUGGCGAAGGCGGCUUACUGGCUCGAUACUGACGCUGAGGCGCGAAAGCGUGGGGAGCAAACAGGAUUAGAUACACCAGUAGUCC
rnacentral:rRNA from 1 species